GGGGACGCAGCUCGCGUUCAUCGUCGCCCGGCCCGCCCUCGCUGCCCGGGUCCUGCCCCCGCUGCCUCCCUGGUGGGCUCGGCGGGGCGCUUCCGCUCACCGUGGCUCCGGCUCCGUCAGGUUGUCAGCAAAGGGACCAGGCACCUUCACCAACAUGGAAAGGGCGUCCUAACAGUGCCACAGGUACUUUCAUCGCAUUAAGAGGGUUCCCCCCACCCCGCCCCCAUGAAGGCAAAGCCUGUACUGGGAUUUCUGGAUCAGUGCUCUCAGGCAUUUCAGAAGGUAUUUUAAAACUGUUUGCAACCCAGGCAAAACUGAAGAGUGAGAAUAACACCAAAACUAGUGCACACGGCUGGCCCUCUUGUCACCACACACCAGCCCUGCGUGCCCUAUACACCAUUAGGAGUCGUGCUGCCAUCGCUUGCUGGCCUUUAAAUUUUCAACCUCAAUUCAAAACCCCAGAGCAGGGGAAGGACUCACACAGAUUUCAGCAGGCUUUGGACCCUAGACUCUUGGAACAAGUUUCAAAUUCCAGCAGCCUUUUGUUUAUCCAAGGAAGAUAAACCAAGUGGCCUGCUGAAUACUGCAUGAGUUUUCAGACAAGAUCUGGAAAACAGCAGGUCUUUGCUCAGAAGGGACAUUAAACAUCCUGUGACACUUUCCAUGAGAACAAAUGAAAAAAUCAGAUCUUUUCUUAUCCUUCCCAAACACUGUCGCCAGGCAAGAGCUGCUUGGUUCCUGUCUUUCACCCAGGACCUUGGUGCCUGUCAGUGCUGUUGUAAAGAGCAAGUGCAAAGCUCCUGGGAGCACAAAAGGAGAGGGUGGCAGAGAGGUGUUUGUGAUACUGCUCUUCCAGGCUAAGUUCAAAACCUUUCAGUGUAAGGAUGUAUACACAAUUUUGGUAAGCAUGGCAGCUUCAGGGUGGAUUAUUAAUUGGAAAAGACUUUCCUUACCAGGUGACAGAGCUACUCGAUACAGGACAAUGGCAUGAGCAGCUGUGAAAGACUGGCCUGAAGUGCUUCCCCUUCCUUCUGCACACUCUGGGGUGAAGCUGCACACUGGGGAGCCCAAAUCAGCUGCAUACAUCUUCCCCAGAGCAAGCACUCCCCUUCCUGCAGUGUGGCAGCUCACAGCAGCUGUAGAGAAAACGGGGACUGCAGGACUAUGCAUGCUGCUCCUCUAGAACUGCUAUAACCAAGAUAUGACAGGAAUACAUCCCCUCACCUGGAGUGCCUGACCAGGCAAAGACAACACAGCCAUCAAGGGGACUGUUUUGGAUUGGUCCCGACAGAAUCAAGAAUAAUACCUUUACACUCUCUUGCACUUUCCAAACCACAAAAAUAAUCAGGAACUGUAACACUGUAGAAUUUAAGAGGUAAAAUAAAGGCUUUGACAGUUUG